rnacentral:rRNA from 1 species
CUACGUGCCAGCAGCCGCGGUAAUACGGAAGGUCCGGGCGUUAUCCGGAUUUAUUGGGUUUAAAGGGAGUGUAGGCGGUCUGUUAAGCGUGUUGUGAAAUUUAGGUGCUCAACAUUUAACUUGCAGCGCGAACUGUCAGACUUGAGUACACGCAGCGCAGGCGGAAUUCAUGGUGUAGCGGUGAAAUGCUUAGAUAUCCUGAAGAACUCCGAUCGCGAAGGCAGCCAUCCGGAGCGUAACUGACGCUGAGGCUCGAAGGUGCGGGUAUCGAACAGGAUUAGAUACCCUGGUAGUCCGCACGGUAAACGAUGAAUACUCGCAGUUCGGCCGUUUAGGUCGAGUUGUCCAGCGAAAGCGUUAAGUAUUCCACCUGGGGAGUACGCCGGCAACGGUGAAACUCAAAGGAAUUGACGGGGGCCCGCACAAGCGGAGGAACAUGUGGUUUAAUUCGAUGAUACGCGAGGAACCUUACCCGGGCUUGAAC